UAUUUUAUUCAUAGAUAUAUAAUAUAAUAAAUUUCGUCUCAUAAAAUUAAAAAAACAUGUUUAAAAAAAUUAUUUUAUAUGAGUUUUUCUUAUAUUGGCAAUUAAGUCAAAUUAUAAAUGUAUAUUGUGAUUCUCAAAGUAAAAAUUUUAAAAAAUAUCUUAUUAACUCAUUAAACCACAUUCGUGUUCAAAAUGGAUGGGACUCAAUUCAACAAACAGAAAUUAAACUUGAGAACUUCACAAUUAACACCAAAAGCGUCACAAGUGAAAUUAUCGAUGAAACUAACUUUAUACAAAAACUCUACUUUAUAACUUGUCUCUUAAAUUGUGAAUUUACUAAUAUAUUGCAAACUUUCAAUGCAAUGUUAGGCCUUAUUUUAAAUAAGUGUAAAGUGAAUGUUUUAAAAUAUCAAUGUGUGGAAUUGAAAUAUUGCACAAAGCUACUUUUUAAUAUUUACAAUUGUUCAAUAAAUAUGUUUAAAAAAAUGUUGAAAACAGCAAAAUAUCUCGACAAAAUCGAUCUACGAAUUAUAGACUCGCCUAUUCUUAAUAUUAAAACUGUAGAUUCUGAAAUAAAUUAUUUUUACAAAUAUAUAUUAGAGUUAAGCAAUGACUCAUUUGUUAAUUUUUCUACUAUUGAUAAAUGGGUCAGUACUUUUGAAAAUAUAAAAAAUUUCAAUAAAAAAGUUGAAUUAGUGAUAUCAAAUCUUUACAAUAUUAGAAAAGUGUGUGGGACAGAACACAAAAGUUCUAUUUUAACCGAUUUAUUGAUGAAAUAUAACAUCGAUCAAAUGGAUCAACUGGUUGAGAAUUCCUACGAUUAUAUUAAUAAUAUUCAUAAAGAUCUUGAAUUAUAUAUUUUGGAUAGAACUGAAAACUGUUACUCAAAACUAGGCUUUGAACAAUUAAAUGGAACAAAUACGUUCAAGUAUAUUUAUUUCAAAAGUAAGAAAUAUAACAACAAUGAAGGUAUUUAUUUGUGUAAUCAUUUAUUAUCUCACUCUGGUUGGAUGUCAUGGAAACAUAUAGCUGUUGAAACUGAAUAUACAAAAGGAAUGUCACUGUAUUUUAAAGAUAUUUUACAAAUAGUUGAUAUGAAUAACUAUGAUUUCAUGCAGUCAUAUCUUGCACUUAUUUUAAGAUGUCGCUAUAUUGAAAUAUUUAAUAAUUUUAAUUUAAUGUUGGGACAUAUAAUUAAUGCUUGUAACUAUGAAAAUAAAAUUAAUUGUGCGGUUAAGCUUUAUAAAACACUAAUGACAUCCGAUGAUAUGUUUAAAAAAAUGUUAUUUGCUCUCAUUACUAUGAGACACUACACAAUAGAUAAACAAUAUAUGCGUCAAGAAUUAUUAAUAGAGAAACUGGUAGAGAUUUUUAUUGAAUUUCUUAAUGAUGUUAGAAAAAAGUAUUUUUCCACAUUGUUAUUUACUAAUGGUGGACUUUAUGAAGCUCAAUCAUUCCUUGAAGACCUAGCACAAGUUCAUACUUCUGUUUUACAGAGAAAAUUUUAUGACGUAAAUCAAUACAACAUGAAAUAUUGCAAAAUUAUAGAAUAUGAAAUAGACAUAAUUACAACAUUUGAACAAUUGAUUAAAACCAAUACCCUAACUGAAUGUAGUACUCUUCAUGUUAUGUGUGAUUAUUUGGAAUCAUUUUUUCUAAAGGUUGUGAAAAAUGAUUAUGAGUAUUUAGGUUUCAAUGAUUUACCUUGUUAACUUUGAUUUUUUAUUGAAGACUUAAUAAAAUAAUGGAUAUAUGUUAUUAUAAAAUAAUUAUUUUUUCCUAAAAAUAUUUGUAAUACGACAAAAAGUUUUCUUUUCUGUAUAUUUGUAUAUUAUGGUAAUAUUUUACUUUGGUUGAGCCGAUUUUCGAACGUAUAAUCGCCGUGCUUUAUCAGUAAUAUUAUGCUUGGAGGUCGGUGGAUACCCAAAGACGAAUAUUCUCUAAUUAUAAAAAUUGUAGGCUUAACAAUAUUUUAGCUUCGUUGGGAAGCUAAGAAGACAUUAGUUUUAUUAUGUGUUGUAUUUUAUUUUUUUUUCUAAUACUACUCAAUCUGAGUGUUUUUUUUUUGCGACUGUGAAUGCUCAAUCACAGCUCUCACCUAACCGAUUUCUUUCAACGAUAUGUCAAACGAUCACAAAUUGUAUAUAGUCGAAAACAUUCCCUUCAAAAAUUAAAAAAAAUUCCCUCGUUCCUCAUAAACAGGAGUAAUUCCUCAAAAAAUUACAAUUUAAAAAAUCGUUCAUUUACGACAUUUUAUCAAUUUUUUUCCUUAAAACUGCCAUAACUUUUUUAAAAACAAACAAAUUAUUUUUCAUUCGACAUAUUCCGUAUUCAAAAAAAAAUGCUCUGUUUGUGUUAAAUUCUGAGUUUUGUAUUUUAUUUUACAAUACUCUUUACGGGAGGACACGAAUUUUAAUUAAUAUUAUAUUAAUCAGUUGCAUAUAUAGUCAUAUGGUGUCUUUGUUGUGACCGCCCCAUCAAUAUGUGAUUGACCGCUGGUAAAAAUAAUUUGACGAGUUUCACAUGACUCGAUUAAACGAGUCAUUAUUCAUUAGCAAUCAAAUGCUCGCUUGAGUAUCGUUGAUACUGAAUAGUAUAUUAUCGUUUCUCAUUCUUUUUCUUUUGUGCUUUUUUGAAGCAUCGCAAAGGUGUAUACGCGCAUAGUUUCGCAUACGCCAAAAUUCGCUACCGUCUGGACGAGUUAACUUCAUUUCCACGCUGUGGAACGAAUUCUGUACCAAGUCUCCAGUAAUUGGCAAUCCAGCCACAAUCAAGGUCGCUGUCAUCCAUGGACAUGCAGGUCACAUUUAUUGUAUAUUUUAUUGGUAAUUUGUGUAUGAAU